rnacentral:rRNA from 1 species
ACAGUUCUACUGGCUGGCUUUGCCGGCUGUAGACUGAAUAAUUAAAGACAACUCUCAACAACGGAUAUCUUGGCUCCCGUAACGAUGAAGAACGCAGCGAAAUGCGAUACGUAGUGUGAAUUGCAGAAUUCCGUGAACCAUCGAAUCUUUGAACGCAAAUUGCGCUCGAGGCCUCGGCCAAGAGCAUGUCUGCCUCAGCGUCG